UAGUGGCCCGGCCCGGCCAUAGCGGCCGGGUAACACCCGGACUCAUUUCGAACCCGGAAGUUAAGCCGGCCGCGUUGGAGGCUCCAGUGGGGUCCGAGAGGCCCUGCAGGGGCCUCCAA
rnacentral:rRNA from 1 species